rnacentral:rRNA from 1 species
UGGCGAACGGCUGAGGAACACGUGCGUUACCAUCCUCUCCGUGGGGAAUACCGGCUGGAAACAGCCGACAAUACCGCAUACGCUGGCCUUUGGUCAGGAAAGCCGUAAGGCGCGGAGAGACGGGCGCGCGGCCCAUCAGGUUGUUGGUGUGGUAACGGCGCACCAAGCCGAUGACGGGUCGCUGGUCUGCGAGGACGGCCAGCCAGACUGGGACUGCGACACGGCCCAGACACCUACGGGUGGCAGCAGCAAGGAAUCUUCCCCAAUGGGCUCACGCCUGAGGGAGCAACGCCGCGUGGAGGAUGACGGCCUUCGGGUUGUAAACUCCUUUUGUGGGGGAUGAUGAUGACAGUACCCCACGAAUCAGCCCCGGCUAACUCUGUGCCAGCAGCCGCGGUAAGACAGAGGGGGCAAGCGUUGUCCGGAAUUACUGGGCGUAAAGCGCGCGCAGGCGGCCUAGGAUGUGCCUGGUGACAAUUUCCGGCUUAACCGGGAAGGGUCUGGGUAGAC